UAAUACGGGGGGAGCAAGCGUUGUUCGGAUUUACUGGGCGUAAAGGGCGCGUAGGCGGUCGUGACAAGUCACUUGUGAAAUCUCCGGGCUUAACUCGGAACGGUCAAGUGAUACUGUCGGACUAGAGUACAGAAGGGGCAACUGGAAUUCUCGGUGUAGCGGUGAAAUGCGUAGAUAUCGAGAGGAACACCUGCGGCGAAGGCGGGUUGCUGGGCUGAUACUGACGCUGAGGCGCGAAAGCCAGGGGAGCGAACGGGAUUAGAUACCCCGGUAGUCCUGGCCUUAAACGAUGAAUGCUUGGUGUCUCGGGUUAUAAAGUCCCCGGGUGCCGUCGCUAACGCUUUAAGCAUUCCGCCUGGGGAGUACGGUCGCAAGACUG
rnacentral:rRNA from 1 species